UACGUAGGGUGCAAGCGUUGUCCGGAAUUAUUGGGCGUAAAGAGCUCGUAGGCGGUCUGUCGCGUCGGCUGUGAAAACUCGGGGCUCAACCCCGAGCCUGCAUUCGAUACGGGCAGACUAGAGUGCUGUAGGGGAGACUGGAAUUCCUGGUGUAGCGGUGAAAUGCGCAGAUAUCAGGAGGAACACCGGCGGCGAAGGCGGGUCUCUGGGCCGAUACUGACGCUGAGGAGCGAAAGCGUGGGGAGCGAACAGG
rnacentral:rRNA from 1 species